rnacentral:rRNA from 1 species
GAUGAACGCUGGCGGCGUGCCUAAUACAUGCAAGUCGAGCGAACAGACGAGGAGCUUGCUCCUCUGACGUUAGCGGCGGACGGGUGAGUAACACGUGGAUAACCUACCUAUAAGACUGGGAUAACUUCGGGAAACCGGAGCUAAUACCGGAUAAUAUAUUGAACCGCAUGGUUCAAUAGUGAAAGACGGUUUUGCUGUCACUUAUAGAUGGAUCCGCGCCGCAUUAGCUAGUUGGUAAGGUAACGGCUUACCAAGGCAACGAUGCGUAGCCGACCUGAGAGGGUGAUCGGCCACACUGGAACUGAGACAAGGUGCAGACUCCUACGGGAUGCAGCAGUAGGGAAUCUUCCGAAAUGGGCGAAAGCCUGACGGAGCAACGCCGCGUGAGUGAUGAAGGUCUUCGGAUCGUAAAACUCUGUUAUUAGGGAAGAACAAAUGUGUAAGUAACUAUGCACGUCUUGACGGUACCUAAUCAGAAAGCCACGGCUAACUACGUG